UGAGAUGGUGUUUAUUAAUUAGUGUGUGUGAGGUGUAUAUAUGGUCAGUAGUGAGAUGGUGUUUAUUAAUUAGUGUGUGUGAGGUGUAUAUAUGGUCAGUAGUGAGAUGGUGUUUAUUAAUUAGUGUGUGAGGUGUAUAUAUGGUCAGUAGUGAGAUGGUGUUUAUUAAUUAGUGUGUGUGAGGUGUAUAUAUGGUCAGUAGUGAGAUGGUGUUUAUUAAUUAGUGUGUGUGAGGUGUAUAUAUGGUCAGUAGUGUGAUGGUGUUUAUUAAUUAGUGUGUGUGAGGUGUAUAUAUGGUCAGUAGUGUGAUGGUGUUUAUUAAUUAGUGUGUGUAAGGUGUAUAUAUGGUCAGUAGUGUGAUGGUGUUUAUUAAUUAGUGUGUGUGAGGUGUAUAUAUGGUCAGUAGUGAGAUGGUGUUUAUUAAUUAGUGUGUGUGAGGUGUAUAUAUGGUCAGUAGUGAGAUGGUGUUUAUUAAUUAGUGUGUGUAAGGUGUAUAUAUGGUCAGUAGUGAGAUGGUGUUUAUUAAUUAGUGUGUGAGGUGUAUAUAUGGUCAGUAGUGAGAUGGUGUUUAUUAAUUAGUGUGUGUAAGGUGUAUAUAUGGUCAGUAGUGAGAUGGUGUUUAUUAAUUAGUGUGUGAGGUGUAUAUAUGGUCAGUAGUGAGAUGGUGUUUAUUAAUUAGUGUGUAAGGUGUAUAUAUGGUCAGUAGUGAGAUGGUGUUUAUUAAUUAGUGUGUGUCAGGUGUAUAUAUGGUCAGUAGUGAGAUGGUGUUUAUUAAUUAGUGUGUAAGGUGUAUAUAUGGUCAGUAGUGUGAUGGUGUUUAUUAAUUAGUGUGUAAGGUGUAUAUAUGGUCAGUAGUGAGAUGGUGUUUAUUAAUUAGUGUGUGUUAGGUGUAUAUAUGGUCAGUAGUGAGAUGGUGUUUAUUAAUUAGUGUGUGUCAGGUGUAUGUAUGGUCAGUAGUGAGAUGGUGUUUAUUAAUUAGUGUGUGUAAGGUGUAUAUAUGGUCAGUAGUGCGAUGGUGUUUAUUAAUUAGUGUGUGUUAGGUGUAUAUAUGGUCAGUAGUGUGAUGGUGUUUAUUAAUUAGUGUGUGUAAGGUGUAUAUAUGGUCAGUAGUGCGAUGGUGUUUAUUAAUUAGUGUGUGUCAGGUGUAUAUAUGGUCAGUAGUGUGAUGGUGUUUAUUAAUUAGUGUGUGUAAGGUGUAUAUAUGGUCAGUAGUGCGAUGGUGUUUAUUAAUUAGUGUGUGUAAGGUGUAUAUAUGGUCAGUAGUGAGAUGGUGUUUACUAAUUAGUGUG